AGAGUUUGAUCCUGGCUCAGAUUGAACGCUGGCGGCAUGCUUUACACAUGCAAGUCGAACGGCAGCACUUGACCUAGCUUACUAGGUUGAUGGCGAAUGGCGAACGGGUUAGUAAUACAUCGGAACGUACCCAAUAGUGGGGGAUAACGCAGCGAAAGCUGUGCUAAUACCGCAUACGUCCUACGGGAGAAAGCGGGGGAUCUUCGGACCUCGCACUAACGGAGCGGCCGAUGUCAGAUUAGCUAGUUGGUGGGGUAAAGGCCCACCAAGGCGACGAUCUGUAGCUGGUCUGAGAGGAUGAUCAGCCACACUGGGACUGAGACACGGCCCAGACUCCUACGGGAGGCAGCAGUGGGGAAUUUUGGACAAUGGGGGCAACCCUGAUCCAGCCAUGCCGCGUGAGUGAAGAAGGCCUUCGGGUUGUAAAGCUCUUUCGCAAGGGAAGAAAACUUAGCC
rnacentral:rRNA from 1 species